rnacentral:lncRNA from 1 species
AAGAGAGAGCUCUGGGCGACCCUAAGGGGAAGCUUUUUUAAAAGUGGCUGAAACUCUCAGUUUUAUAAGAUUAAAGAGGUUGUUAUAGAUUGCCAAUACAUCCUAGUAAUUGGCAUUUAAUUCCCACGUUUUUUUUUCGUUGUUAUUGGUCUUAUAAAGAGCCAUAUUCAUCACCAUAUUCAGUUUCCACUUUUAAUUUUUUGUCUACAUCAGCAUCCUUAUUCAAUUCUCCACUUUUAGCACCAUUUUGCCUUAUCUGUCCUCAACUGAGCUCCAAAAUACAAUUAGCUGCACACUAACACAAAAAGAGUAAAAUGCAACUAGUUUAAUUCAAAAAUAUCCCAAAGGGACUAGGAAUGGAUGAUAUAAAUCUAUGAAAUAUAUGAGUUAUCAAUGCACAACCUAGUGCUCAAAACUCACCCCAACAAUCUUAGACCAAAGACGAGGAAAACAA